ACUCCUACGGGAGGCAGCAGUGGGGAAUAUUGCACAAUGGGCGCAAGCCUGAUGCAGCCAUGCCGCGUGUAUGAAGAAGGCCUUCGGUUGUAAAGUACUUUCAGCAGUGAGGAAGGUGGGUAUGUUAAUAGCAUAUUCAUUUGACGUUAGCUGCAGAAGAAGCACCGGCUAACUCCGUGCCAGCAGCCGCGGUAAUACGGAGGGUGCGAGCGUUAAUCGGAAUUACUGGGCGUAAAGCGCAUGCAGGUGGUUUGUUAAGUCAGAUGUGAAAGCCCGGGGCUCAACCUCGGAAUUGCAUUUGAAACUGGCAAACUAGAGUACUGUAGAGGGGGUAGAAUUUCAGGUGUAGCGGUGAAAUGCGUAGAGAUCUGAAGGAAUACCGGUGGCGAAGGCGGCCCCCUGGACAGAUACUGACACUCAGAUGCGAAAGCGUGGGGAGCAAACAGGAUUAGAUA
rnacentral:rRNA from 1 species